ACAUGCACUGAACCAGAGUAUUCAAAAACCUUCACUUCAAGCCGUUUUCAGUGGUCUAAAAUGGUGUUUGUGUGUAGGCAAAAGGCCAAAACACAUAGAAAAACUGAUGCAUUUCUAAAAUAACUGGGUUCGUGUGGGCGAUGUCUUGAGCUCAACAGUCAAUCAAAAUCAAGGUAGGUUGUCCAGGACAUAUGAAGUCAUAGCAGGCGGAGGCAUAACAAACAAUUUGCAUCGACUUCACUACAUCUCACUUCUGAGUGUCAAUCUCUGUUGUGGCAUCAUCUAUGCUUACGCUGUUAUGAGGCAAUCAAGCAAAGGCGGGCAUGCUAUAUUUACGGUCUUCUGAUCAGGCCAGGAGGGAUCAGAGCGAACUUGGAGCAAACCUUCGACGAGUGACCACAAACAGCAUCUUCUCCUGAUGCAUUUUGUCAAUGAAGACGACAUGACGUUCCUGGUCGCCCUCACUCUCACUCAUGGAGCCAUAGCUGGUCACUAGAGAGGCCAGGCCGCCCGACAUGUUCUUAGGGGCCACUGACA